rnacentral:tRNA from 1 species
GGCCAAAUAGCCUAGCCUAAGAUAUCGGCCUGCCACGCCGGCGACCCGGUUCAAAUCCUGCGGCCG